rnacentral:tRNA from 1 species
AUUUAUAUAAUAUAAUUAAUAUUUUUGACUUCCAAUCAAAAAAUCUGUCACCAGUAUAAAUA